rnacentral:rRNA from 1 species
UACGGAGGGUGCAAGCGUUAUCCGGAUUCACUGGGUUUAAAGGGUGCGUAGGCGGGCAGGUAAGUCAGUGGUGAAAUCUCCAAGCUUAACUUGGAAACUGCCGUUGAUACUAUCUGUCUUGAAUGUUGUGGAGGUGAGCGGAAUAUGUCAUGUAGCGGUGAAAUGCUUAGAUAUGACAUAGAACACCAAUUGCGAAGGCAGCUCACUACACAAUUAUUGACGCUGAGGCACGAAAGCGUGGGGAUCAAACAGG